AAUUUUGGACAAUGGGGGCAACCCUGAUCCAGCCAUCCCGCGUGUCCGAUGAAGGCCUGCGGGUUGUAAAGCACUUUUGGCUGGGAAGAAAAGGUUCUGGCUAAUACCUGGAGCUGCUGACGGUACCUUCAGAAUAAGCACCGGCUAACUACGUGCCAGGAGCAGAGGUAAUACGUAGGGUGCAAGCGUUAAUCGGAAUUACUGGGCGUAAAGCGUGGGCAGGCGGUUCGGCAAGAAGGAUGUGAAAUCCCAGGGGUUAACCUUGGAACUGCAUUCUUAACUGCCGGGCUAGAGUAUGUCAGAGGGGGGUAGAAUUCCGCGUGUAGCAGUGAAAUGCGUAGAGAUGCGGAGGAAUACCGAUGGCGAAGGCAGCCCCCUGGGAUAAUACUGACGCUCAUGCACGAAAGCGUGGGGAGCAAAC
rnacentral:rRNA from 1 species